rnacentral:tRNA from 1 species
GCGGGGGUUGCCGAGCCAGGCCAAAGGCGGUGGACUCGAGAUCCACUCCCGUAGGGGUCCGAGGGUUCGAAUCCCUCCCCCCGCA